rnacentral:rRNA from 1 species
AAACAUAGCCUUCAGCAAACCAAGUAUUGAAGGUAACGCCUGCCCAGUGAAACUUAAACGGCCGCGGUAUCCUAACCGUGCAAAGGUAGCGUAAUCACUUGUCUUAUAAAUAAGGACCUGUAUGAAUGGCUAAAUGAGUAUUUAACUGUCUUUUUUAACUGAUCAGUGAAACUGAUCUUUCAGUACAAAAGCCUGAAAUUAAAACAUGGGACGAGAAGACCCUGUGGAGCUUUUAAAUUUUUAACCAUUUACACUAAUAUAGUUUUGUGUUUUAUGGUAAAAAAUUUUUAAGUUUGGGGCGACUUUUGGAGUAAAACAGAACCUCCAAGAACACAGCACUGCCUUAAACCUUGGCCUACUAGCCUAACACAUAGACCCAGUAUUACUGAUCAACGAACCAAGUUACCCCAGGGAUAACAGCGCCAUCUUCUUCAAGAGUUCAUAUCGACAAGAAGGUUUACGACCUCGAUGUUGGAUCAGGACACCCAAAUGGUGCAGCCGCUAUUAAAGGUUCGUUUGUUCAACGAUUAAUAGUCCUACGU